CCGAUAAGAGGCAAGUGCUAUCCGGAUUUACUGGGUGUAAAGAGUGUGCAUUCGGUUCUCAAAAUUGGAUGUGAAAGCUCCUGAUUCAACUGAGAGAGGUCUUUCAAUACUACCGCACUCUAUCACAGUAAAGGGAGGUGGAAUUCGCGGUGGAGUGUCGAAAGGAGUACAUAUCAUUAGGAACAUCCUGGGCUAACGCGGCCUCCUGCAUUGUCCCUGAUAUUCAGACGCGAAUGCUAGGGGAGCCUACGGGAUUAGAGACGCCGGUAGUCCUAGCUGUAAACGAUGUGAACUUGGCGUCGGUGGUGUAAAAACCAUCGGUGCCGAAGCUAUCGCGAUAAGUUCUCCGCCUGGGGAUUACGUCCGCAAGGUUAAAACUCAAAGGAAUUGACGGGUCUCCGCACAAGCAGCGGAGCGUGUGGCUUAAUUCGAUGUUACACGAAGUACCUUACCCAGGUUUGACAUGCUGGUAGUAGGGAAGCGAAAGCAGAGCGGGCCGCAAGGGAACCUGCACAGGUGCUGCAUGGCGGUCGUCAGCUCGUCUCGUGAGAUGUUCGGUUAAGUUCCACAACGAGCGCAACCCUUGUCUUAUGUUACAAGUUUCAUCCGAGAUCGUCGGUAUCAAUCCGGAGGAAGGUGGGGAUGAUGUCAAGUCAGCAUGGCUUUUAUAUGGGGGGUUGCACUCCCGCUACAAUGGCCGGUUCAAUGGGUUGUUAAUCCGCGAGGUAGAGACCAUUCUCAAAACCGGUCUCAGUUCAGAUCACAGGGUGCAACCCGCCUGUGUGAAGAUGGAGUUGCUAGUAAACUCGCGUCAACAAUAGUGCGCUGCAUUCGUUAGCCGGGGAUU
rnacentral:rRNA from 1 species